rnacentral:misc_RNA from 1 species
UAACCACUCAAGCCUCGGCUUGGUCUUAGGGUUCGCGGUUUCGCGGCCCUUAAAAUCAGUGGCGGUGCCGUCUAGCUCUAAGCGUAGUAAUUCUCUCGCUAUAGGGUCCAGGUGACCACCUGCCAUAACCCCCAUUCUUUAC